rnacentral:rRNA from 1 species
UACGUAGGGAGCAAGCGUUGUCCGGAAUCAUUGGGCGUAAAGCGCGCGUAGGUGGCCUCAUAAGUCCGCUGUGAAAGUCAAAGGCUCAACCUUUGAAAGCCGGUGGAUACUGUGAGGCUAGAGUACGGAAGAGGCGAGUGGAAUUCCUGGUGUAGCGGUGAAAUGCGCAGAUAUCAGGAGGAACACCGAUGGCGAAGGCAGCUCGCUGGGACGGUACUGACGCUGAGGCGCGAAAGCGUGGGGAGCAAACAGG